GACGGAGGAUGCAAGCGUUAUCCGGAAUUAUUGGGCGUAAAGCGUCCGCAGGUGGCUGUUCAAGUCUGCUGUCAAAGCGCAGAGCUUAACUCUGUACAGGCGGUGGAAACUGAAGAGCUAGAGUAUGGUAGGGGUAGAGGGAAUUCCCGGUGUAGUGGUGAAAUGCGUAGAUAUCGGGAGGAACACCAGUGGCGAAGGCGACUUCCUGGCCUGUUCUUGACGCUGAGGCGCGAAAGCUAGGGUAGCAAACGGG
rnacentral:rRNA from 1 species